GGAUUAUUGAUCCAUACCGUAGCUCCUUAAGUCCUAGAAUGGUGGAGGCCUUGAUAUGUACACAAAAUUGGCUUAGGAGUGAAAAUGUGUAUCUACAUCAUAUGCCUACUGUUGAGGAGAUGGAGUUGUGUGAAGAAGCGGAAAGAGAGAUGCUUAAGAUACCAUGUGGAGCUGCAGUGGGGAGUAGUCGGAGCGGAAUGUUACCUCCAAAGUCGAAGACUUCAUCUUUCCGAGCUUGAGAUCAUGCCAUUGCUCUCCUUCAUAUGUUGAUGUUGGUUGAUUCUUUUUGUGAUGUUUAAUCUUUUAGUGAACUUAUACAUUUUUAAUUUGUGAGGUUAGUGACUUAGUGUUGAUGUAAUGAUGGACUGUUAUAAACUUUGGACUCUAUAUUUUUUGACCAUUUCA